rnacentral:rRNA from 1 species
GAUGAACGCUGGCGGCGUGCCUAAUACAUGCAAGUCGAGCGAAUGGAUUAAGAGCUUGCUCUUAUGAAGUUAGCGGCGGACGGGUGAGUAACACGUGGGUAACCUGCCCAUAAGACUGGGAUAACUCCGGGAAACCGGGGCUAAUACCGGAUAAUAUUUUGAACUGCAUGGUUCAAAAUUGAAAGGCGGCUUCGGCUGUCACUUAUGGAUGGACCCGCGGCGCAUUAGCUAGUUGGUGAGGUAACGGCUCACCAAGGCUACGAUGCGUAGCCGGCCUGGGAGGGUGAGCGGCCACACUGGGCCUGAGACACGGCCCAGACUCCUACGGGAGGCAGCAGUAGGGAAUCUUCCGCAAUGGACGAAAGUCUGACGGAGCAACGCCGCGUGAGUGAUGAAGGCUUUCGGGUCGUAAAACUCUGUUGUUAGGGAAGAACAAGUGCUAGUUGAAUAAGCUGGCACCUUGACGGUACCUAACCAGAAAGCCACGGCUAACUACGUGCCAGCCGCCGCGGUAA